GCAGCACACAGCGACGAAGAUCCGGGCUGGAUUCUAGAGCACGGUCGCCCCAGCGCGGCCCGGGAAGUCAGUGGCAAGACCGCCUGAGCAGC
rnacentral:ncRNA from 1 species